GAUGAACGCUGGCGGCGUGCCUAAUACAUGCAAGUCGAGCGAACAGACGAGGAGCUUGCUCCUCUGACGUUAGCGGCGGACGGGUGAGUAACACGUGGAUAACCUACCUAUAAGACUGGGAUAACUUCGGGAAACCGGAGCUAAUACCGGAUAAUAUAUUGAACCGCAUGGUUCAAUAGUGAAAGACGGUUUUGCUGUCACUUAUAGAUGGAUCCGCGCCGCAUUAGCUAGUUGGUAAGGUAACGGCUUACCAAGGCGACGAUGCGUAGCCGACCUGAGAGCGUGAUCGGCCACACUGGAACUGAUACACGGUCCAUACUCCUACGGAAGACACCAGUAGGGAAUCUUCCGCAAAGGGCGAAAGCCUGACGGAGCAACGCCGCGUGAGUGAUGAAGGUCUUCGGUUCGUAAAACUCUGUUAUUAGCGAAGAACAAAUGUGUAAGUAACUAUGCACGUCUUGACGGUACCUAAUCAGAAAGCCACGGCUAGCUACGUG
rnacentral:rRNA from 1 species